UCUUUGUUCUUAGGAGGCUUUCUCUUUAGGC
rnacentral:piRNA from 1 species